AAGUUGGAUUCGCUAGUAAUCGCGCAUCAGCCAUGGCGCGGUGAAUACGUUCCCGGGCCUUGUACACACCGCCCGUCAAGCCAUGGGAGCCGGGGGGCGCCUGAAGUCCGGGACCGCGAGGACCGGCCUAGGGCGAAACUGGUAACUGGGGCUAAGUCGUAACAAGGUAAC
rnacentral:rRNA from 1 species